AGGCACUCUAAUUUCUCUCGAAUCACCUGUCUGCCAAACUGGAGGAGCGCAAGCAAGACAACCUUGCGUCCGGGGAGCUACUGCUGCAGUGUGAUGUGUCUGGAAAUACCUCCGAAGGUUCAUCAUCCCCCUGCAAGCGGCAUUCCUGCUGGGAAAGUAGGAGCUCAGUGACAGGCACCAUCUCGCUCUUUCGCACCCCCGGGUCAUCGGCAGAAAGGGCUGAGCGGUUCUGAGAGGGACUCGCUCAGUGCUGUCUGAGCCUGGCACUUCAAGUGCCUUUUCCAGCACACAUUAAAGCACUCAGACAAGCCUGGGCAGCA